rnacentral:rRNA from 1 species
AUUGCCCUAGUAACGGCGAGUGAAGCGGCAACAGCUCAAAUUUGAAAUCUGGCGUCUUUGGCGUCCGAGUUGUAAUUUGCAGAGGGCGCUUUGGCAUUGGCAGCGGUCCAAGUUCCUUGGAACAGGACGUCACAGAGGGUGAGAAUCCCGUACGUGGUCGCUAGCCUCUACCGUGUAAAGCCCCUUCGACGAGUCGAGUUGUUUGGGAAUGCAGCUCUAAAUGGGAGGUAAAUUUCUUCUAAAGCUAAAUACUGGCCAGAGACCGAUAGCGCACAAGUAGAGUGAUCGAAAGAUGAAAAGCACUUUGGAAAGAGAGUUAAAAAGCACGUGAAAUUGUUGAAAGGGAAGCGCUUGCAGCCAGACUUGCCUGUAGUUGCUCAUCCGGGUUUCUACCCGGUGCACUCUUCUAUAGGCAGGCCAGCAUCAGUUUGGGCGGUUGGAUAAAGGUCUCUGUCACGUACCUCCUCUCGGGGAGGCCUUAUAGGGGAGACGACAUGCAACCAGCCUGGACUGAGGUCCGCGCAUCUGCUAGGAUGCUGGCGUAAUGGCUGUAAGCGGCCCGUCUUGAAACACGGACCAAGGAGUCUAACAUCUAUGCGAGUGUUUGGGUGUCAAGCCCGAACGCGUAAUGAAAGUGAACGGAGGUGGGAACCUUUCGGGGUGCACCAUCGACCGAUCCUGAUGUCUUCGGAUGGAUUUGAGUAAGAGCAUAGCUGUUGGGACCCGAAAGAUGGUGAACUAUGCUUGAAUAGGGUGAAGCCAGAGGAAACUCUGGUGGAGGCUCGCAGCGGUUCUGACGUGCAAAUCGAUCGUCAAAUUUGGGCAUAGGGGCGAAAGACUAAUCGA